GGCUUAAGGAGUGCGUGUAUUUAGUCGGCCCUGAUUGGUCUGAUUCACGACGGCGUCUGGGAUCACACAUAGCCUCGUGCCGAGCCAUAAUCUAUUCUAUUUGACAUUUGCGGAUCUCUUCUCUUGUCGAACCUACUCCGGAGAUUUAACGAACUGGUCAACAGCAGUUAGAUAGGAGAAAGAUGAUUGCCUCGAUUGAUUUGUUUGAAACCACCUCGCGACUUUCUGCGUUGUCAUGGUUACCCCACACUCUUUCUUCAAUGAGAGCCAAGAAAGUAAAGUUGAGUAAUGGAGGAUUUGAGGUUACCUAAAAAGCAUAAGAAACUGGACCAACAGCCAAGCGUACGCAGUUUUUUUCAGACAGCAGCACAGAGAGAGAAGGAGAGAGACAGGCAUGCUGAAAGCAGUGGCCAGACAGGGACAUGCUCUGAACAUGCAGGUGAUCAGGCAUCACAGAGAGACAGGGAGAGAGACAGGCAUGCUGAAAGCAGUGGCCAGACAGGGACAUGCUCUGGACAUGCAGGUGAUAAGGCAGCACAGACAGACAGGGAGGCAGAGAGGCAGGCUGAAAGCAGUGGCCAGACAGGGGUAUGCUCUGGAAAUGCAGAUGAUCAGAUCCAUCCAACUGUCUGCAAACAUGGAUCUCUGAUGCAGCAGUGCAGUUGGGAGAUUCUUACGGGUGCCAAGUUUGCAGAAAAUUUGGCGAUUACCCAGCCAUGGUUGCACAUGUUCAAACACAUGACAGAGCAGCCAUAUCUCACAAUGGCUACAAAAUAGAGAGGUGCCAACACAACUGUGCCAACACAAGAUCUCCACACUACCACUGUGUGUGCUCAACCAUUACUGGCAGCAAAAUUUCAUGCAUAAAGCACCUGCAGACCUGCCCUGGCAUGAGGACACCACCUCCAUCUCAAGGCCUCAGCACGCCGAGCCCAAUGCCAGCCACGCACCCGCCACCUCCAUCUCAAGGCCUCAGCAAGCCGAGCCCAAUGCCAGCCACCACCCGCCACCUCCAUCUCAAGGCCUCAGCACGCCGAGCCCAAUGCCAGCCACGCACCCGCCACCUCCAUCUCAAGGCCUCAGCACGCCGAGCCCAAUGCCAGCCACGCACCCGC
ensembl:lncRNA